rnacentral:rRNA from 1 species
CCUACGGGACGCAGCAGUGAGGAAUAUUGGUCAAUGGACGCAAGUCUGAACCAGCCAUGCCGCGUGCAGGAAGACGGCUCUAUGAGUUGUAAACUGCUUUUGUACGAGGGUAAACGCAGAUACGCGUAUCUGUCUGAAAGUAUCGUACGAAUAAGGAUCGGCUAACUCCGUGCCAGCAGCCGCGGUAAUACGGAGGAUUCAAGCGUUAUCCGGAUUUAUUGGGUUUAAAGGGUGCGUAGGCGGUCGGAUAAGUUAGAGGUGAAAUCCCGAGGCUCAACUUCGGAAUUGCCUCUGAUACUGUUCGGCGAGAGAGUAGUUGCGGUAGGCGGAAUGUAUGGUGUAGCGGUGAAAUGCUUAGAGAUCAUACAGAACACCGAUUGCGAAGGCAGCUUACCAAGCUACUUCUGACGUUGAGGCACGAAAGCGUGGGGAGCAAACAGGAUUAGAUACCCGUGUAGUC